GAGAUAGCGCCGAGACAGCAUGGACGCCGGGAGCCUGGGAAAGCCAACUGUACCACAGGAGUCUAAACUGUAGCUAGGAAUAGAAGUACGCUCAUUUUAGCUAUUAGAAGGUUUGCCUGAUACUCUGGCUCUUUAUUUCGAGGAUGUCUAGCUCACCUGUGAUAUAACUCAGACCCCAUUUCACUCAUUUCUUAAACUAGGAAUGGGGCAGAAUUUCCCAGCAUCUCUUCCAGCUCCCAGGGAGAAGGUCUGGGACCUAUGUUCUACCAACCAAAUACACUCUCAUGAAGCUCUCAUUUGGAAGUCAGCAACAUGCAGACACAGACUGGGUUCUGAGCAUCUAUGGUGCAGAUGAAGAUGAUGGCAGGAGCUGUGGAGGCAGUAGAAUCCUCAUCAAGCCACUUCUGUGCCUCUAGACCUGCAGUAGCAUGAAGAGGUCUGAGGAAGCUGUGCGUCCCUCAAGAAAGCAAUUCUUUAUUGCCCAUCAAAGAUGAAUCCAUAGGGGAUCAUUAACAAGGAGAUCAUCCCAGAGAGCAGCUUCUAGAAUCACCAACCAACCUCAUGAAAUAAAGAAAUAAAGAAAACAAACAAGUAAAUAAAAACAAGAUCUUUAUGGAUGUGGCAGAAAGCUUUGCAAGCCAAGAAAGUCUUCUAUCCAGGUGAUGCAAAUAACUGUAAAACUUCAGACUUCUUGAACUACAAAGAUGAACUCUGCCAACCCAAGUUCUAGUACUUCCUCUACUCCCAGCCUGACCCCCACUGUUUCUUGGUUUCCUCACUCCUUCUCUUUCUGUUUGACUCUUGAGAGUAAUAAACUCAGCCAAGUCCUACUACUUGAGCCCAUAUUUAAAUGCAGAACAA
rnacentral:lncRNA from 1 species